AUCCAACGCUUUGUAUUUUUUUCUGAUUUUAAUUAUAUUUCUUUUAUUAUUUUAAAUUUCUUUUUAUUUAAAAAUUCGUAGUAAUUUCAUUUUUCAUCCGAAAAAUCCCAAAAUAAUUUCUAAAAUUUUCUUUUAUUUUUCUUCAUCUGAUUUUCAUUUUUCCACAUUUUAUUUCACUAAUUUUCUAUUUUUCAUGAAUUUUC
rnacentral:lncRNA from 1 species